rnacentral:rRNA from 1 species
AGUUUGAUCAGUGGCUCGAGGACGAACGCUGGCGGCGUGCUUAACACAUGCAAGUGGAGCGACGAACCGGGGCUUGCCCCGGGGCAGAGCCGCGAACGGGUGAGUAACACGUGGGUAACCUGCCUCAAUGAUUGGGACAACCCGGGGAAACUCGGGCUAAUACCAAAUGUGUUCACUCCUUCUAAGGGGAGUGAGGAAAGGAAGCUUCGGCCUCCGCAUUGAGAUGGGCCCGCGGCCCAUUAGCUUGUUGGUGAGGUAACGGCUCACCAAGGCUUCGAUGGGUAGCUGGUCUGAGAGGACGAUCAGCCACACUGGGACUGAGACACGGUCCAGACUCCUACGGGAGGCAGCAGUGGGGAAUCUUGCACAAUGCGCGAAAGCGUGAUGCAGCAACGCCGCGUGGGGGAAGACGGCCUUCGGGUUGUAAACCCCUUUCAGUUGGGACGAAGCUUCGUCGGUGAAUAGCCGGUUGGAGUGACGGUACCUUCAGAAGAAGCCCCGGCUAACUACGUG